CAGCAGCCGCGGGAACACGUAGGGCGCAAGCGUUGUCCGGAAUUAUUGGGCGUAAAGAGCUCGUAGGCGGUCUGUCGCGUCUGGUGUGAAAUCCCGAGGCUCAACCUCGGGCUUGCAUCGGGUACGGGCAGACUAGAGUGCGGUAGGGGAGACUGGAAUUCCUGGUGUAGCGGUGGAAUGCGCAGAUAUCAGGAGGAACACCGAUGGCGAAGGCAGGUCUCUGGGCCGCAACUGACGCUGAGGAGCGAAAGCAUGGGGAGCGAACAGGAUUAGAUACCCCAGUAGUCCCUGUCUCUUAUAC
rnacentral:rRNA from 1 species